CAGCUAACUGCAUUAUCAGAUUAAAAACAUUUCGUGAUCUUCUGUCUGUUCAACACACGGAAGUAGCUGAAAGCUUUGCUGACAGAGAAAUGCUAGCCAGUUUUUCCUGACGAUUCAGGUGUUGCAAAUCCUACAGAGUUUUAGCAGUGCUCUUCGAUGACUGCAUAAAGAAUUGUGUGUCAAAUCAAUGGAUUUUCAUCUAAAAAUCUUCCUUUUCUUCAUCUGCAUACCUUUGGUUCAUUCAGCUCCUGAAGUGUCUCUGUUACAUAAGGACCCCUUCUCUCCAGUAGUGUGUCAUGCCACAGAUUUCUACCCAUCAGCAGUGAAUAUCACCUGGUUAAGAAAUGGAGAAGAUCACAAAGAGGAUGUGGAGCUUGGAGAGCUACUACCAAAUGAAGAUGGGACCUUCCAGAAGACUGUUUCCCUCCGUGUUACUCCAGAUGAAUGGGAGAAGCACCAGUAUGUUUGUGUGGUGGAGCACGAGACAGGGACUAUCCGGAGGAAUCUGACUGAGGACGAGAUCAAGAGUAACUACAAUAAAACGAAGUGGGUUAAUAAGAAUUUCAGACAGUAAUGAUAAUGAUGAGUCUUUAAAGGGUUUCCUCCAGUCAAGUCUCCCAGAUUUUGGUGAGGUUAUCAGUCUUCAGGAUGUGGAGAUCAGAUGAUUUCCAGCAUGCAUGUUUGAACAAAACAUGUUAAAUCAAUAAAAGAUGCAUGAGUAUGGACGUCAUGGACCUGUUUUCCCAAACAAGAUGACCACAUGACUAAAAGAAACACAGAAAAAGAACACUUUAUAUAAUCUGUGUGGCAUUUCAUCUAUAAAAGCAGACUGGAGACACAUCGAUAUGAGAUGCAAAUGCCAGUUAGCUAAAGAGCUCCCAGAUACUGUCUGGUUAUUAAACUUAUGUUAAUAUCAGGUGUAAUGAGAGCUUUGAAUGUACUACUGUUUGUUAUCCUGUCUUUUAACACUGAUAUUUGUAUAUUGUUUAAAUCAAAUGAAACCUUGUUUUGUACAUAUAAAGUUCACUGAAUAAGAAUAAUUUGACAGCUAUCUU